UGGGGAAUAUUGCGCAAUGGGGGGAACCCUGACGCAGCCAUGCCGCGUGAAUGAAGAAGGCCUUCGGGUUGUAAAGUUCUUUCGGUAUUGAGGAAGGUUGAUGUGUUAAUAGCACAUCAAAUUGACGUUAAAUACAGAAGAAGCACCGGCUAACUCCGUGCCAGCAGCCGCGGUAAUACGGAGGGUGCGAGCGUUAAUCGGAAUAACUGGGCGUAAAGGGCACGCAGGCGGUUAUUUAAGUGAGGUGUGAAAGCCCUGGGCUUAACCUAGGAAUUGCAUUUCAGACUGGGUAACUAGAGUACUUUAGGGAGGGGUAGAAUUCCACGUGUAGCGGUGAAAUGCGUAGAGAUGUGGAGGAAUACCGAAGGCGAAGGCAGCCCCUUGGGAAUGUACUGACGCUCAUGUGCGAAAGCGUGGGGAGCAAACAGGAUUAGAUACCCUGGUAGUCCACGCUGUAAACGCUGUCGAUUUGGGGGUUGGGGUUUAACUCUGGCGCCCGUAGCUAAACGUGAUAAAUCGACCGCCUGGGGAGUACGGCCGCAAGGUUAA
rnacentral:rRNA from 1 species